rnacentral:lncRNA from 1 species
AAGGGCAGUCAGACUGCCUCAGACACAACCCCCAGAAGUCUUCUGAAGCAGCUGUUCAUGUGCUGACACAAGUCAGCCAACUCACAGAGGCGCGCCAAGUACCUAUGAAAAGUAAGACCAGGAGAGGGCCAGGCAGCAGGGUUUUCAAAGAGUUACGGCACAGUGGCUUCUUUCUGAAGGCUAGACUUCUGAGAAUUGCUCCAAGUUUGCAGAAUGAGAUGGGAAACCAUGAAAGACCCACACAGCUAUGUUGCGGAUUCUUAGGAACAAGAAUCCUGUACUGGAGGAGGCAGCAAAAGGUCAGCUCAAAAGGAAAACGAGACCAGCUUGGUAACCCCUGAGAAGGCUCUGUGCAUGUGGUCUUGUGUACACAAACAGACAUGAAGCCUGAGAGCAAAGCUGAGAAAUACAAUCACUGUAGUUUCUGGA